UCCUGCAACAACAGCUUGGUUAAUGUAAGAAACUAAGACAGACGUUGCCUGGCAGUAUUUGUGGAGAGACAAAGCACAGUUAAUGUUUUAAGUGCAGUGACCUUUUACAGAACUGAUAGUAGCUAGGCAGUGGUAUAUAUGGUGAAGACAGGGGUUUGGGCAGGGAAAGGAGUGAGUGAUAGGUGGGUGGAAGGUGGAGCUGGAGAGAGAAACAGAAACAAAGUUAAUAGACAAAUUGGUGGUAAACUAGGGAAUGAGGAAGCUAAGAAUAGAGAGUAGGUGGAAAUGGUUGGCUGUGCUGAAGCCAUAACAGGGUAUGGGGUGUUGUGGGGUCAGGAUACUGCCAGAUAAAGAUAACGAAAAGAGCUCUGAAAAAACAGACUCUAAAGUUGUUGAACAUGACAUUGAGUCCUGAAGGCUGCAGGGUCCUCAGGUGUAAAAUGAGAUGCUACUCUUCCAGUGUGCGCUCAGCUUUGCUGGAGCGUUGCACCAGGCCCAAGGCAGAAAUUUUGGCCAGGGAACAUGGUGGUGUGUUGAAGUGGCGGGCAACUGCAAGCUCUGCGUCAUGUUUAGGACAGAACAUAGACGUUCUUCAUAAUGGUCACCCAGGAAGUGUUAUGUCUCCCCUUUAUUCAAGGUGUCUCAAAGAUGAUAUGUAGGUUGAUUUCAGAUGAGGUUCGCUGGAUGGAUUCCAGAGUUGAGGAGGUUUGUUUUAUGAAGAAAGAUUAAGCAGUUUAGGAAAUCUUUGCAAAGAAAGCUAUGGGUGCAGAGCCUAUGGAUAUGCUUAAGGCAUUCUUUAAAUCUACCUGAGAGGUAGGAAUUGAACCUGGGCCUCCUAAUUCCAAAGUAGAGAAACUACCACUGCACCACAAGAACGCCACUGAUGAUAAAGGGUUAAUCAACUUCUCUGGUUGGAAACCAAUAAGGGAGCAAGAGAAGUCCCAAUCUUGCCCCUUGCUGAACAGGAAAGUCUCCAGCACCAGGGGCCACAGUCUCAGAAAAGUGAACCAAAAUGUAGAAUGUGAAGGCAGAAAAAUGAAGAAUCAAAGAAAAGAUGUUCAACUGUGCGUCCUUCUUGUUGAGUGCUCCAUCAUGGGUCAUGGGAGUAGUGGCCAGACACGAGGCCCCUUCGCUGCUGCUGCCGCCACUGAAAUGAAAGUCACCUCUUCUUUGGCACCAUCUCACCUCCACCGAUGCCCUGGCCUCCAUGAGCCGAGCUAGACCUCGCCAAAGCAGAUGCCACCAAUGCUGCCGGGUCCCGCACCAGUCUAAACUCAACACUGCUGCCGUCGUGAGUCCACUUCAGGCCUGCCUCAUCGAUGUAGCCACUGCCAAUGCUGCAGGGUCCUGUACUGGGCCCAAACUUUUCUCUGUCUCUGCCGCCUCCACCUCCAUGAAUUUGCGCCUGACGCAGACAUUGCCAGGAGCCCAAACUCUUCCCCCCCCCCCCCCCAACACGGCAGCCACGAGUUGGCACUAGGACCGCCUCGUUGAUGCAGAAGCCAAACUCGCCUCUGACACCUCCACCACGAGUCCACGCUGCUGGGCCCACUCACCACCGACACCAUUACUGCAACCGAGCUCUUCAACAAGAGGCAAGGAAGAGAAGAAAAGAACAAAUAAGUAAAGAGAGAAGACAAACAAAAGAAAAGAAACAAAAAGAAAUGUGGAUGAGCCCUGGCUCGUAGGCCCUACUCCACCGCCAUCUUACCAGAAGGUCUGAGGUGAGGAGAAAUUGCUUCAUCCAGAGGGUGGUGAGCCUGUGGAAUUCUCUGCCACCAAAGCGAGUGAGGCCGAGAGAUUGAAUGUUUUCAACAAAGAGUUAAAUAUAGUUCCUGGUGUUACAGGGAUCAAAGGGCACAGGGAGAAAGUAGGAACAGUCAGUUGGUCAUAUUGAACAGAGGAACAGGCACGAAGGGCUGAAUGGCCUAGUCUUAUUUUCUAUGUUUUUACAUUUACAGCAGUUUGAAAGUUUGUUCAUCACUACCUUCUGAAGAGCAUUUGGGGACGGCCUGUAAAUACUGACCAAUCCUGGUAAUGUGAUCAUGCUACAUUUAAUCCUGAUUUGUUUAUCCUAUCUUUAAUCAUUCCUGCACCCUUCCAUUUAAGUGCUUGUUUUGCAAGAUCUCGCAGCUAGCGAACAUUGGUCAGAAACUUGAUGCUUAUGAUCAGUGAGGCUCUGCUCAGACCAGAACAUUGUAAGAUUACUCCGUCUGUACAAGACCUUUCAUUUUCAAAUAAUUUCUUACUCCCUGAACUUUUUGAACAUCAUGUUGUAGUUUACUCAUUCCCUGGUUGCAGGCAUUGAUAGAAAUGGACCUGUCCAAUGUACUCAUGCCAGUUUAUAUACAGAGCUGUUCAACUACGAUCACAGUGUGUCCCUACUACCUUGCAGUUUUUUUUCCACAUAAGAAUUUUUGCCCAAUCCCUUUUGAAAAUAUCUAUUAAGUCAAAUUCCUCUACCCUUUCAGACAGUGCAUUCUAGAUCGUAGUAACCUGCUACAUUCCUUGCAGUACAGGACGGGAACAGGCCCUUCGCCCCACCAUAUCUGUGUUGUCCAUGAUGCCAUUCUUUUACCAACUACCUUAAAGCUGAAAAUGCAAGAUACAUAGUAGACCAGGCAGUGUUUGUGAAGAGUUUAUGUUUUAGCUUUGUGACCUUUCAUCAGAACUAGGUUAGCAAAGUAACUUCAGAAUUCUCUGCCUCACAAGGCAGUGGGACAGCGUCAUUUAAUAUUUUAAGGGUGGAGGUAGAUAAACUCUUAUAUUUGGCAGGAGUAGAUGGAAAUGUGGAAUUCAAAACCCAGCAAAUCAGCCAUAUCUUAUUGAGUGGCAGUGCAGGCUCAAGUGGCCAAAUGAUCUACUACUUCUUCUUCUAUUUCUUAACUUUGCAUUGGGUUUUAAAUAAGAGGUGGGUGAGGACCAAAGGAAGGUCAGAAGGCCAAAGCAAAGCAAAGGAAGGAGAGAUUAACUCAUGAGUUUUUCAUUUCCCCAAAGGAUAAAGAACACGUUAAUUUCGUGAAUGACAGAUACUAGUCCAAAUCAUGAUCUGUACCUUAAAAUGGAACUCUGGUUGCCCCAUCAUGAUAAUUUCCAAGUAGUAAUGUCUUAGAGUCAUGGAGCAUGGAAACAGACCCUUUGGUCCAACUCAUCCGUGCUGAACCAGGUUUCCCGAACUAAACUAGCCCCACUUGCUGGCGUUUGGUCCAUAUUCCUUGACACCUUUCCUAUUCAUAUACUUACCCAUAUGUCUUUUGAAUGUUGUAAAUGUAACAAAGAACAAAGAAGAUUACAGCACUACCUGCAUCUACUGCUUCCUCUGGCAGUUCAUUCAUCAUAUGAACCACCCUCGGUAUGAAAAAGUUGCCCCUUGGGUCCCUUUUAAACCUUUCAUCUCUCACCUUGAAAAAUGCCUCUUUUUCAAACUCCCCCACCAUAAGGAAAAGACAUUUUGCUAUUCACCUUAUCUGUACCCCACAUGAUUUUAUAAACCUGUAUAAAGUCCUCUGCCUCCUACGCUCCUGGGAAAAAAAGUUCCAGGCUAUCCUUAUAACUCAAACCAUGCAGCCCUGGCAACAUCCUGGUAAAUGUUUUCUGAACCCUCUCCCAUUUAACAAUAUCCUUGCUAUAACAGGGCAACCAGAACAGCACACAGUACUCCAAAAGUGGCCUCACCAACAUCCUGUACGACCUCACCAAGAUGCCCCGACUCCUUGCUGUUUUUUGUUUUUGUUCUGGUUUUUGACUUGCGAUGGUACAAGAAAAGAAACAAAGGUUCGCAGAGCAGGUGUGCUAUGGUCUGAAAACAGAUAAAUGUGCAAAACCAAGAAGGUUAAAAGAAAGGAAACAAAAUUUCAACUAAGAUUAUGGUCUGAAAUUUAUUGAACUCAGUGCUGAGUCAGGAAAGCAGUGAUGAUCCUAACUGAAAAUGGAUUUCUGUUCUGUAAGCUUACACUGAGCCUCAAUGAAUCUGUACAGCAUUCCGAGUCAAGGGAUGUCAUUUUGAGAACUGAAUCUGUGCUUGCUGGAUUGACCCUCUUGUUACUGCUUCUCAUUACUUACAUUGCCAAACACUUCAUGAUUUUGAACACAUAUUAGAUCUUUCACAAGCAUUUCUGCUCAAAGGAGAACAAUUUCCGUUUGUCUUGCCUAGUCUAUUCAUAUAACUAUAGUCUUUCAUUCUGUCUAAUAAUCUCCUGCGGCCCCUCUGUAAAGUCAGAUUCUUCAUUAGACUUGAUGUCCAGAAUUGACCGCAAAGCUCCAACUGGGGACUAAUAUUUGAUAAAUUCCUUCUUCUGUUUAGGCAGUCCUUGGGGAUUGGGGAUGACUUGCAAUUCCAAAGCAAUGUGAUUGUUUCUGAGAUAACAAAGUGUGAAGCUGGAUGAACACAGCAGGCCAAGCAGCAUCUCAGGAGCACAAAAGCUGACGUUUCGGGCCUAGCCCCUUCAUCAGAGAGGGGGAUGGGGAGAGGGUUCUGAAAUAAAUAGGGAGAGAGGGGGAGGCGGACCGAAGAUGGAUAGAGGAGAAGAUAGGUGGAGAGGAGCGUAUCGGUGGGGAGGAGAUAGGUCAGUCCAGGGAGGACGGACAGGUCAAGGAGGCAGGAUGAGGUUAGUAGGUGGGAAAUGGAGGUGCGGCUUGAGGUGGGAGGAGGGGAUAGGUGAGAGGAAGAACAGGUUAGGGAGGCAGGGACGAGUUGGGCUGGUUUUGGGUUGCAGUGGCGGGAGGGGACGAGCUGGGCUGGGAUUAUCUCUGAUUGUUUCUGAGUUAGCCAGUGAUAUUCAAUGGGUGCUUUGCAGAUUCUGCCACAUGUUAGUCAGGUGGUACUAGAAUUGCUGGAUAAACAGGUUAUUUGGUGGUUUGUGAUUUCCCACUGACUUUGCCUCUGCACAUACCCAGUGAAAUGUUGUCUACUGGGUUGAAUUUCUGUACCUGAACCUUCUUGAUUUUGAUUGUUCGCAGUCCAGGGUCUCCCAUGAGUCACCAGGGAUGUUUGACUUCUUUGAGGCCAUCCCUACAAAGUGUGAUCCGAGAUAAUGGGAACUGCAGAUGCUGGAGAAUCCGAGAUAACACAGUGUGGAGCUGGAUGAACACAGCAGGCCAAGCAUCAUUUUAGGAGCACAAAAGCUGAUGUUUCGGGUCUAGACCCUUCAUCAGAAAAGGAGGAUGGGGAGAGGAUUCUGAAAUAAAUAGGGAAAAAGUGGGAGGCCUACCGAAGAUGGAUAGAGGAGAAGAUAGGUGGAGAGGAGAGUAUGGGUGGGGAGAUAGGCAGGGGAUAGGUCAGUCUGGGGAGGACGGACAGGUCAAGGGGGCGGGAUGAGGUUAGUAGGUAUGAAAUUGAGGUGCGGCUUGAGGUGGGAGUAGGGGAUAGGUGAGAGGAAGAACAGGUUAGGCAGGCGGGGAUGAGCUGGGCUGAUUUCGGGAUGCAGUGGGGGGAGGGGAGAUUUUGAAGUUGGUGAAAUCCACAUAGAUACUAAUGGGCUGCAGGGUUCCCGAACGGAAUAUGAGUUGCUGUUCCUGCAACCUACGGGUGUCAUCAUUAUGGCACUGCAGGAGUCCUAGGAUGGACAUGUCAUCUAAGGAUUGGGAGGGGGGAGUUGAAAUGUGAGUCCUCCUGCAAGUUUCUUGCCACAACUUGCCACAAUUCUAAGUGCUUUGGAAGUCUGGUGUCAGGCAUUCAGACAACAUAUCCUACCUAAUAGAGCUGGUUUUUUUGUGAUUGGUGCCUAAGUGAUGGGUCUAAAUAAGUUCCAAUAGAACAGGUUAAACAACAUUCUGUAGUUAAUGGCUUUGUUUCAUCAAUUGCGAUGCAGCAGUGGGGUUUCAAUUCCUGCACAGGCUGAAGUUACUACGAAGGACCCUCCUCAACAUCCCCUCCACCUCGCCUGAGGCAUGGACACUCUCGAGUUCAAUCACCCAUUACACCUCCUUCCAAUGGGACUGUAGUCCUAUGUUGCCUUUAUUUAUCAUUCUCAUAGGGUAUGCGUCUACUACCGCACGUUAAAAAAUUUUCCUACAUUUGCAGCUUGUAUUUUGCAUUUUAAGUUUUGUCGGUGGCAAUUCACAUAUCAACCAGCUAUUACACAUGCAAAUUCCAUUUAGCUUCAAUAGAGCCAGGAAGCACUUUACAAUUUAUUAGCAUUGAGUGUAAUGAAAGUGUGUGAUUUACGUGCAAAUCCGAUAUCAAGUGUCACAUAUUUAAUUGUGACUCGGAUGUAUUGUCACUUUCUACAAUGGCCUUCAUAUUUUUUGCCCUCAGUGGAAGAACAGGCAAAGAGAGGCUGUGCCUCUCACUGGCUGCAAAGAGAUCCUGUUUGGAGUAAGAAAUAACAAGGCGUAGAGCUGGAUGAACACAGUAGGCCAGGCAGCUUCAGAGGAGCAGGAAAGCUGACCCUUCGAAAGAAGCUCAGACCCAAAACAUCAGCUUUCCUGCUCCUAUGAUGCUGCCUGGCCUGCUGUGUUCAUCCAGCUCUACACCUUGUUAUCUCAGACUCCAGCAUCAGCAACUCCUACUAUCUCUCCUGUUGGUAGUAGUUUAGCACAUUACCAAAACCUGGUCACCAAACGAUCCUGCAUUAAAAAACUCAUGUAAACGCUUCCACCAAUGGCUUUGUGUUCUGCUCCCGCACACAAAUCUUUUCAUUUUCUUCAGUGUUCCAUCCCUUAUUUUCCUGUUUUCCUCCAGCAAAGUUGGGUCAAAAUCUUUGAUAUCCUUCCCUGAUGGUAUGAUGGGUAACCAUGCCACAUGGGUGCAAUAGUUCAAGUAGGAACCAACAACUCAACAGUAAUUAGGAAUGGGCAGUUAAAGUUUGAACACUGAUGCCCACAUCCUACGAGCAAGUAAUAAAAAUAAUUGUUACUCUAUCCUUUAAAGGUGCCCUUCAACCAGCAACAAGAACUUGUGUUUAUGUAGUGUCUGUAUGGUGUUUUUUAAGUAGCAAAACACCCAGAGGUGCUGAAUUAUAAAAUGCAAUAUGACAGCAAGCCACUUAAGGAGCUUUUAGAUCAGAUGACCAGGCAUAUUAACAUCAGUGUCCUUGAAGGAGCCAAUAGCACCAGUAGCAAGGUCAUGAUCAUCCAAAGCCAACUUCUGCUGGGUUGGCUAUGUGCUUAGGGUGCCUGGAUUUUGACUGCCGAAGCACACCUUGUGUGUCCAGCUCAAGGAAGGCACUUGAAUGUGAGGAGGAAAGGAAGCACUUCAAAAACUCUCCCAAGUCUAGAAUGAGCUGCCAGCGGAAGUGCUGGAGGCUGGUACAAUUACAACAUUUAAAAGGCACCUGGAUGGGUAUUUGAAUAGGAAGGGUUUAGUGGCACAUGGGCCAAUUGCUGGCAAAUGGGAUUAGAUUUGUUUAGGAUAUCUGGUCGACAGGGACAAGUUGAACUUGUCAAGGUCUGUUUCCAUGCUGUACAGCUCUAAUGACUGUAUGACUCUGAGGCUUAUCUACUUCACGGGCAACAUGUUGGCCCAGUGGGUUAGCACGGUUACCUCAGGGGACCCGGGUUCAAUUCCAGCCUUGGGUGACUGUCUGUGUGGAGUUUGCACGUUCUUUCUGCCUUUGUGGGUUUCUGCUGUGUAGAUUUCCUCCCACAGUCCAAAGAUCUGCAGGUUAGGUUGGUUGGCUGUGUUUAAAAAAAAGUUCUCUGCAGUGUCCAGAGACAUGGAUUAGCUAUGUAAAUGUGGGAUUAUGGGGAUAGAGGAGGUGGCUGAGUCAGGGUGGGAUACUUUUCAGAGGUUUGUUGUGGACUCAAUGGGCUGAAUGGCCUAUUUCUGCACUGUAGGAUUCAAUGAUACUUAUUUUUUGCCUGUUCUUGUGUAAUGUUUCAAUGCCAAUUGAAAUCGCUAAUGGCAGUGCAAGAUCCUGUGUUUCAAAUGAAGUGAAGUAUCUCAGCAAAGUUCCUAUAGUCCCUCAAGCUUGUUUGGCCCUAUUCAAUAUGAAUGAGGCAUACUCUAUCAAAAUUGAAUUGCACAACACAACCCGUUACCUUAUAUUGGACCCCAGUGUGUGAUUGUGGCUAUUCCCUGUGAAAGGAACUCAUCACAGAUCUUUAAACAGACAAACAAGUGGAGCGGUCAACAAGAGAGAUUGAAGUGUGUCAAAAGUUAUGAUAAUACUCUUGUCAGUUUUGAAGGUGCUAUGGAAUUGCACGGUGUUGUAUUUUGAAAUCAAAGUCUAUAAACUUUAAAUGGGGGGAGAAAAUCUCUGAAGACAUUUUAGAAAUCUCUGGGGGAGGUUGUGGCAUAGUGGUAAUGUUUCUGAACCCAGACUAAUGCAUGGGUUACAUGGGUCCAAAUCCCACAUGGCAGCAGCUGGAAUUUAAAUUUAGUUAAUAAAUCCGGGAUUGAAGCUCGUUUUAGCCAAGGAUGCAGUUGAAUUAUCAUCAAUUGUUAUAAAGCCCAUCUCAUUCACUAAUGCUCCUAAGGGCGGGAAAUCUGCCGUCCAUACCCAGUCUGGCCUCCAUGUGACUCCAAAUUCACUGCAAUGUGACUGAUUUCUGAAACGGCCAAUAGUUCAUAAGUGAUUCAUACUGCUCUUGCCAAUAACGUCCACAUCCCAUGAGACAAAAAUUACAAAAGCCAUUAAAUUGUAUUUGUCAGGUACAAACAAAAAAUAUAAUGUUAGCCUUUAUAUCCAGAAGAUUAGAAUGUAAAAGGGGUGGGUUUCUGCUUAAAUCAUAAAAAGCCAUGGUUAAACCAUGUCUCAAGUACUAUGUACAGUUUUACGCACCACAUCUUAGAAAGAGUGUACUGAAAAGGCAUGCACCAUUCGCCAGAAUGUUCACAGGGCACCAAGAGUUACGUUAUGAUGAAACAUUAUAAUGAACUUGCAGCAUGGGUUAGUACCUGGGACUUCGAUGUUGUGGCCGUUUCGGAGACAUGGAUAGAGCAGGGACAGGAAUGGUUGUUGCAGGCUCCGGGAUUUAGAUGUUUCAGUAAGAACAGAGAAGAUGGUAAAAGGGGCGGAGGUGUGGCAUUGUUGGUCAAGGACAGUAUUACAGUUGCAGAAAGGAUGUUUGGGGACUCGUCAACUGACGUAGUAUGGGCUGAGGUUAGAAACAGGAAAGGAGAGGUCACCCUGUUGGGAGUUUUCUGUAGGCCUCCGAAUAGUUCCAGAGAUAUAGAGGAAAGGAUAGCAAAGAUGAUUCUCGAUAGGAGUGAGAGAGACAGGGUAGUUGUCAUGGGGGACUUCAACUUUCCAAAUAUUGACUGGGAACACUAUAGUUCGAGUACUAUAGAUAGUCAGUUUUUGUCCAUUGUGUGCAGGAGGGCUUCCUGACACAGUAUGUAGAUAGGCCAACAGGGGCGAAGCCACAUUAGAUUUGGUACUGGGUAAUGAUCCUGGCCAGGUGUUAGAUUUGGAAGUAGGUGAGCACUUUGGUGUUAGCGACCACAAUUCUGUUAUGUUUACUUUAGUGAUGGAAAGGGAUAGGUGUAUACCACUGGGCAAGAGUUAUAGCUGGGGGAAAGGCAAUUACGAUGAGAUUAGGCAUGAUUUAGGGAGCAUAGGAUGGGGAAGGAAACUGCAGGGGAUGGGCACAUUAGAAAUGUGGAGCUUAUUCAAGGAAAAGCUCCUGUGUGUCCUAGAUAAGUAAGUACCUGUCAGGCAGGGAGGAAGCUGUAGAGUGCGGGAGCCGUGGUUUACGAAGGAGGUGGAAUCUCUGAUCAAGAUGAAGAAGAAGGCUUAUGUCAGGAUGAGAUGUGAAGGCUCAGUUAGGGCACUUGAGGGCUACGAGGUAGCCAGGAAAGACCUAAAGAGAGAGCUCAGAAGAGCCCGGAGGAGACAUGAGAAGCUGUUGGCGGAUAGGAUCAGGGUAAACUAAGGCUUUCUAUAGGUAUUUAAGGAAUAAAAGAAUGACAAAAGUAAGAUUAGGGCCAAUCAAGGAUAGUAGUGAUAAGUUGUGUGUGGAGUCAGAUGAGAUAGGGUAAGUGCUAAAUGAAUAUUUUUCGACGGUAUUCACUCUAGAAAAUGACAAUGUUGUCGAGGAGAAUACUGAGAUACAGGCUACUAGACUAGGUGGGAUUGAGGUUCACAAGGAAGAGGUAUUAGAAACCCUUCAGAGGAUGAAGAUAGAUAAGUCCCCUGGGGCGGAUAGGAUUUAUCCUCGGAUCCUCUGGGAAGCCAGGGAGGAGAUUGCCGAGCCUUUGGCAUUGAUCUUUAACUCGUCAUUGUCUACAGGAAUAGUGCCAGAUGACUGGAGGAUAGCAAAUGUGGUUCCCCUGUUCAAGAAGUGGAGUAGAGACAACCGUUGUAAUUAUAGACCAGUGAGCCUUAGCUCAGUUGUUGGUAAGUGUUGGAAAAGGUUAUAAGGGAUAGGAUUUAUAAUCAUCUAAAAAGAAUAAAUUGAUUAGGGAUAGUCAGCACGGUUUUGUGAAGGGAAGGUCGUGCCUCACAAACCUUAUUGAGUUCUUUGAGAAGGUGACCAAACAGGUAGAUGAGAAUAAACCGGUUGAUGUGGUGUAUAUGGAUUUCAGCAGGGCGUUCGACAAGGUUCCCCACAAUAGGUUAUUGUACAAAAUGCGGAGGAAUGGAAUUGUGGGAGACAUAGCAGUUUGGAUCGGAAAUUGGCUUGCUGAAAGAAGACAG